CUUCAUCUCCUCCAAGCGAAAUAUGUACUCCAUGAUGUUGAGCGCAUGCUUUAGACGCUGCUGUCGAUUCGAGGCGCUGUCAGAAACUGAAUGAUGCUGGGAUUAGACUGCACAAUUUCUAAUCCCUCUGUGGCAUAGUACGGACCGCAUGAGCCUAGGACCGCUGGAAACACUGAUUCCUCAUCGAACAGCUUGCCCAUCAUAUAGUUGUUGUCCUUGAACAAUCUCCAAAAGCUAACCAUUUGCUGUGAGUUAUUAUCCGCAAUCUCCUGAUUGACCAAGGCGCGUAUCUUAAAAUCCAAGGCGAAAAGUUUUUGAAGCAGCAGCUUUAGGAAUUAUCUGCAGGCAUACCAUAUUAUCGUCCAAUGUUACAUUGUAGGCCAGAAUGAUGUGCAACUUGACAAUUUCAUGGAACUCCUCGAUCUUAGGAUAAAUAGCCUCGCCCUUGCUGUUCGUCCAGCUCAAGUCGUCAUCGUUGUGCUUGGCCAGCUAAUUGCCAGCAGCGGUUUGGAAUGGUUGGUAGUCAUGACAACCGAAAAACUAAUGCCAAACUGACCUACCUUCACGGCGAGCAUAUCGCCAUUCUUUUCGGCCGUAAACAAUAUCGUUUUCAUAUCAUUUAACGGGCACUGGAAGUUGUCAAAGUUCGACUGGCUGCUGCACAGUUCCUCGCAAAGGGAUCCACUAAACUCAUGGUGUUCAUACUUUUGGCACUAAAUUUGUUGGUAUUGGUCUGUUUAUUAAUUGUGCGUCAAAAAAGGUGGUGAGACUUUUUUUCCCUUA